rnacentral:tRNA from 1 species
UUAUUUGGACUGGUGACACGAGGAUUUAAAAUCCGUUGGCUUUAUUGACCGUGAGGGUUCAAGUCCCUCUACCCCCA